CGCACAAGCGGUGGAGCAUGUGGUUUAAUUCGAUGCAACGCGAAGAACCUUACCUGGUCUUGACAUCCACAGAACUUUGCAGAGAUGCAUUGGUGCCUUCGGGAACUGUGAGACAGGUGCUGCAUGGCUGUCGUCAGCUCGUGUUGUGAAAUGUUGGGUUAAGUCCCGCAACGAGCGCAACCCUUAUCCUUUGUUGCCAGCGGUUAGGCCGGGAACUCAAAGGAGACUGCCAGUGAUAAACUGGAGGAAGGUGGGGAUGACGUCAAGUCAUCAUGGCCCUUACGACCAGGGCUACACACGUGCUACAAUGGCGCAUACAAAGAGAAGCAAUCUCGCGAGAGCUAGCGGACCUCAUAAAGUGCGUCGUAGUCCGGAUUGGAGUCUGCAACUCGACUCCAUGAAGUCGGAAUCGCUAGUAAUCGUGAAUCAGAAUGUCACGGUGAAUACGUUCCCGGGCCUUGUACACACCGCCCGUCACACCAUGGGAGUGGGUUGCAAAAGAAGUAGGUAGCUUAACCUUCGGG
rnacentral:rRNA from 1 species